ACGAACGCUGGCGGCGUGCCUAAUACAUGCAAGUCGAACGCACUCUCGUUUAGAUUGAAGGAGUUUGCUCCUGAUUGAUAAACAUUUGAGUGAGUGGCGGACGGGUGAGUAACACGUGGGUAACCUGCCCUAAAGUGGGGGAUAACAUUUGGAAACAGAUGCUAAUACCGCAUAAAACCUAACACCGCAUGGUGUAGGGUUGAAAGGUGGUUUCGGCUAUCACUUUAGGAUGGACCCGCGGUGCAUUAGUUAGUUGGUGAGGUAAAGGCUCACCAAGACCGUGAUGCAUAGCCGACCUGAGAGGGUAAUCGGCCACACUGGGACUGAGACACGGCCCAGACUCCUACGGGAGGCAGCAGUAGGGAAUCUUCCACAAUGGACGAAAGUCUGAUGGAGCAACGCCGCGUGAGUGAAGAAGGUUUUCGGAUCGUAAAACUCUGUUGUUGGAGAAGAAUGUAUCUGAUAGUAACUGAUCAGGUAGUGACGGUAUCCAACCAGAAAGCCACGGCUAACUACGUG
rnacentral:rRNA from 1 species